rnacentral:rRNA from 1 species
GAUGAACGCUAGCGGCAGGCCUACCACAUGCAAGUCGAGGGGUAACUAGAGUGAUAGCAAUAUUACUUUGGCUAGACCGGCGCACGGGUGCGUAACACGUAUGCAACCUACCUUAUACUGGGGAAUAACUUCGAGAAAUCGGCGCUAAUACCCCAUAACAUUGCGAAGAGGCAUCUCUUUGCAAUUAAAGCUCCGGCGGUAUAAGAUGGGCAUGCGUCCAAUUAGCUAGUUGGUGAGGUAACGGCUCACCAAGGCUACGAUUGGUAGGGGUUCUGAGAGGAUGAUCCCCCACACUGGUACUGAGACACGGGCCAGACUCCUACGGGAGGCAGCAGUGAGGAAUAUUGCGCAAUGGACGAAAGUCUGACGCAGCCAUGCCGCGUGCAGGAUGACGGCCCUAUGGGUUGUAAACUGCUUUUGUACGGGAAUAAACCCUUCUACGUGUAGGAGGCUGAAGGUACCGUAAGAAUAAGCACCGGCUAACUCCGUGCCAGCCGCCGCCGUAACAC